UUCACAGUCAAGCACUAAGUAUUCUGUGGA
rnacentral:piRNA from 1 species